rnacentral:lncRNA from 1 species
UAACUUCUUAAAAUUAAGGAGUAUAGAGGGAACAUCCAUGUCCUCAUUGUUAGAAAAUCGGAUAGGCGGCAUGUGUAGGUUUCAAAACUUUAAAAGCAGACAGCGAAAAACAAAAUGGGUUAAACUUUUUAACCCCACAUGCUAGAUACCAGAUCCAAAUCUACCCAAGCUUAGGAGAAAGCACAUAUUAUCAAUCUAAAAUUUAAAAAAAAAUUAUGAGAUCAGAUCUCAUUACCUUUGCAUAGGUAGACAUUCACCGCUAUUGAUGACCUCGAAUUCAUAGAAGGUUGAGCCGUAUACGUGUUCGACCUCUACGGAUAUCCAUCG